CGCUGCCGCUGCCGCUGCCGCUGCCGUUGCCGCCGCCGCUGCAGUCAUUGCCAUCGUACGCCAAUUAAUUAAUUGCUACGCAGCUCUCUGAUUCGUCCUCCUUAAUCGUCGUCGUUGUUGUAUUAAUAUUCUUCUUCUUCUUCUUAUUCUUCUUCUUCUUCUUCCUCUUCCUCUUCUAAUCUUGUGAUCUCCUACUUCUACUUCUUACUUCUUCUGAUCUUAUGUAUUACUUUUAUUUAUGUAUUAUUAUUAUUAUUAUUAUUAUUAUUAUUAUUAUUAUUAUUAUUAUUAUUAUUUGUUUAAGAUCGAGAUGUUGAUUUCUAUAAUAUCGAAUAUAUUGUACGUUCUCGACGCACCGCUUUUUCGAAAACGAAAUGUGUGAGAGACACUUGUACUAAGAGAGGGAAGAUUAGAAAGAUAGAUAGAGAGAGAAGAAUUUAGAGAAAGAGAGAGAAAGAGAGAGAGAGAGAGAGAGAGAGAGAGAGAGAGAGAGACAGAUAGAGGGAGAGAGAGUGAGAGAGAGAGAGAGAGAGAGAAAUGUUGCUUUCGACGUUAAAGCCAUGAUAAUUUUGAUGAAAAAAAUGAAUAAAUAAAAUAAAAUAAAAUAAA